UACGUAGGGUGCGAGCGUUAAUCGGAAUUACUGGGCGUAAAGCGUGCGCAGGCGGUUUGGCAAGUCGGAUGUGAAAACCCGGAGCUCAACUCCGGACCUGCAUCCGAAACUGCCCGACUAGAGGUAGGUAGGGGAGAUCGGAAUUCCUGGUGUAGCGGUGAAAUGCGCAGAUAUCAGGAGGAACACCGAUGGCGAAGGCAGGUCUCUGGGCCACUACUGACGCUGAGAAGCGAAAGCAUGGGGAGCGAACCGG
rnacentral:rRNA from 1 species